GCUGAAACUCGCCUACAUGAAGCUGGAGUUACUAGUAAUCGCAGAUCAGAAUGCUGCGGUGAAUGCGUUCCCGGGUCUUGUACACACCGCCCGUCACACCACGGGAGUUGGAGACGCCCGAAGCCGACUAUCUAACCUUUUGGAAGAAGUCGUCGAAGGGGGAAUCAAUAACUGGGGUGAAGUCGUAACAAGGUAGCCGUAUCGGAAGGUGCGGCUGGAUCACCUCCUUUCUAAGGAGA
rnacentral:rRNA from 1 species